rnacentral:rRNA from 1 species
UACGUAGGGGGCAAGCGUUGUCCGGAUUUAUUGGGCGUAAAGAGCGUGUAGGCGGUCAGGUAGGUCCGUUGUGAAAACUCGAGGCUCAACCUCGAGACGCCGAUGGAAACCAUCGAACUAGAGUCCGGAAGAGGAGAGUGGAAUUCCUGGUGUAGCGGUGAAAUGCGCAGAUAUCAGGAAGAACACCCGUGGCUAAGGCGGCUCUCUAGUACGGUACUGACGCUGAGACGCGAAAGCGUGGGGAGCGAACAGGG